rnacentral:rRNA from 1 species
UACAGAGGGUGCAAACGUUGUUCGGAAUCACUGGGCAUAAAGCGUACGUAGGCGGCGCCGUAAGUGUCGGAUGAAAUCCCACGGCUUACCCGUGGAACGGUCCGGCAUACUGCGGUGCUAGAGGAUGGUAGAGGAGAGCGGAACUCUUGGUGGAGCGGUGAAAUGCGUAGAUAUCAAGAGGAACACCGAUGGCGAAGGCAGGUCUCUGGGCCACUACUGACGCUGAGAAGCGAAAGCAUGGGGAGCGAACAGG